AGCAUUUCUCCAUUCUCCUCACCAGCCAGUAUACACAGCGACAAAGCAUGGGGUGAUUGGAUUUUCAAGAGCCAUUGCAGACGCAUCUGAACAGGGCAGUUAUGGAGUGAGGAUCAACACACUGUGCCCAGCCUUCGUGGACACCCAACUCCUUCGCACUGUGGAGCAUGAGGAAACAAUGGGCAAGUUUGUCAAGUACAAAGAUGAAUUCAAGCAACGGAUGGACAAGUAUGGCGUUCUCAAACCAUCUCUGAUUGCCGAAGGAAUGCUGCGAAUGGUAACAGAUGAAAGCCUAAACGGAGCCGUGAUGAAGAUCACCUGUUCUAAAGGCAUUCACUUCCACACCUAUGAACCUCUUUCAGCUUGAGAGUGAUGCCUUCAUCAAACAUGUUUGCCUUUUUUCUCUCCUCUCCAUUCCUCAUCAGAACAUUUAUUUUAUUGAAGUCCAGUGCAGACACCUCAAACAGCUAGUUGAAUGACACAAACCUAUGGCGCAUUUAAGAAAUAAAAAGGGACGGUAUAGAUUUUCCUGUCUAUCAUUUGAGUUUUGAAAACCAAAAAGGACUGCAUAAUGGCAUUCGGGCCUCUUUCUAAACUGGUUUCAUUUUUUUGUAACGCCCUUGAACAUUAAUUUGUAUGCAACUGCUUUACUGUGAGUAAUUGGUUUUGAGAAAAGAAAAUCAUAUUUAUUAAUAAUUCAGUUAUUCUUUUCGUGUCAAUCGUACCUCAAUAUCGCAAACCAAUGAUUCUUAUAAUUUUGUAUAAUAUUUUAGAUAUAUGGAUAUCUUUGUG